rnacentral:rRNA from 1 species
AGCGAACGCUGGCGGCAGGCUUAACACAUGCAAGUCGAACGCCCGUAGCAAUACGGGAGUGGCAGACGGGUGAGUAACGCGUGGGAACAUGCCCUUUGGUUCGGAAUAACUCAGGGAAACUUGAGCUAAUACCGGAUAAGCCCGAGAGGGGAAAGAUUUAUCGCCGAAGGAUUGGCCCGCGUCCGAUUAGCUAGUUGGUGAGGUAAUGGCUCACCAAGGCGACGAUCGGUAGCUGGUCUGAGAGGAUGAUCAGCCACACUGGGACUGAGACACGGCCCAGACUCCUACGGGAGGCAGCAGUGGGGAAUAUUGGACAAUGGGGGCAACCCUGAUCCAGCCAUGCCGCGUGAGUGAUGAAGGCCCUAGGGUUGUAAAGCUCUUUCGGCGGGGACGAUAAUGACGGUACCCGCAGAAGAAGCCCCGGCUAACUUCGUGCCAGCAGCCGCGGUAACAC